rfam:Corynebacterium atypicum strain R2070, complete genome.
ACUCAGGCACGAUCCUGCCCGGCGUGGUGCGUGUGCGCACGCGCCAGGGCGUGGUCCUAAGAAUAUGAGGGAUUGCACGCCCGCCACGUGGGGCGGGAACCGACCUGAAGUGUCAACCCUGAGGGA